GGCCCGUUGGUCUAAGGGUAUGAUUCCUGCUUUGGGUGCGGGAGGUCCCGGGUUCAAAUCCCGGACGGGCCC
rnacentral:tRNA from 1 species